UACGGGGGGAGCAAGCGUUGUUCGGAAUUACUGGGCGUAAAGGGCUCGUAGGUGGCCAACUAAGUCAGACGUGAAAUCCCUCGGCUUAACCGGGGAACUGCGUCUGAUACUGGAUGGCUUGAGUGUGGGAGAGGGAUGCGGAAUUCCAGGUGUAGCGGUGAAAUGCGUAGAUAUCUGGAGGAACACCGGUGGCGAAGGCGGCAUCCUGGACCACGACUGACGCUGAGUGAGCGAAAGCCAGGGGAGCAAACGGG
rnacentral:rRNA from 1 species